CCCAGACUCCUACGGGAGGCAGCAGCGGGGAAUAUUGCACAAUGGGGGAAACCCUGAUGCAGCGACGCCGCGUGAGUGAAGAAGUAUUUCGGUAUGUAAAGCUCUAUCAGCAGGGAAGAUAAUGACGGUACCUGAGUAAGAAGCCCCGGCUAACUACGUGCCAGCAGCCGCGGUAAUACGUAGGGGGCAAGCGUUAUCCGGAUUUACUGGGUGUAAAGGGAGCGUAGACGGCAUGGCAAGUCUGAAGUGAAAGCCCGGGGCUCAACCGCGGGACUGCUUUGGAAACUGUUAAGCUGGAGUGCAGGAGAGGUAAGUGGAAUUCCUAGUGUAGCGGUGAAAUGCGUAGAUAUUAGGAGGAACACCAGUGGCGAAGGCGGCUUACUGGACUGUAACUGACGUUGAGGCUCGAAAGCGUGGGGAGCAAACAGGAUUAGAUACCCCAGUAC
rnacentral:rRNA from 1 species